GAAAGUCCUAACCUAAUCAGCAAGUUCAACUUCAUUCUUCAAAAUCAAGUCAUCCUCUAUCAUUUUUAAAUCAUAUAUCAAACAUAUUUAGUGAAUACACAAGCACUUAAUAGCUACAUUUUCAAUAUGUUGUAAUACACGAUUAUAUACCACCCUCAAAAACUACAAAUAGGAUAAUUUAAAGCACAAUUUACCUAAAACAUGGUACAUCUGGAUUGCGGUACCAGUAUAGGUACAAAAUACAGUAUAAAAAUUUCAAGAAAAAUUUUGAUGAUAUAGGAGAGAAAAAGAAAAAGAAAAAUAGGCUGUUCAAACACUACAUUUCUCUUCAACGUCAUCAGUAGAAGAGAACAUCAGCAUGUAUGCGGUGCAUAGUCAAGCAUCUUUAAAAGGGUCAAUCUAUUUCUACUAGUACAUCUGGAUUGUGGUACCAGUAUAGGUACAAAAUACAGUAUAAAAAUUUGAAGAAAAAUUUUGAUUAUAUAGAAGAGAAAAAGAGAAAGAAAAAUAGGUUGUUGGAACACUUGCAUUUCUCUUCAAGGUCAUCAGUAGAAGAGAACAUCACUAUGUAUGAGGUGCAUAGUCAAGCAUCCUUCAAAAAGGUCAAUCUAUUUCUACCGGUACAUCUAGAUUGUGGUACCAAUAUAGGUACAAAAUACAGUAUAAAAAUUUGAAGAAAAAUUUUGAUGAUAUAGGAGAGAAAAAGAGAAAGAAAAAUAGGUUGUUGGAACACUUGCAUUUCUCUUCAAGGUCAUCAGUAAAAGAGAACAUCAUCAUGCAAGCGGUGCAUAGUCAAGCAUCCUUAAAAGGGCCAAUCUACUUCUACUUAUGACACCAUAAAACACAAGAAAGAAGAUUCGUAAGUACAAAAACUGGCCAAACAAACAGGAAAUCUUGGACAUUAACUGAGCCAGACUAGAACUCACAAGGAAUCUUUGGUUUAAGCUUUUUGACAAGCAAAUCUGACAGUACUAUCUACAACAUUGCAUGCUCUCAUCCACAAUAAAAACAAAUUCGCUAUUUCAUUGUAGUCACCUUUUAUAUGGUAUUUUAUGAGAUUAUGACGAUGGCUGUGCAGGCAUGAUAAAAAAGGAGAUUCUAUAACAUUCUAACUUAAAGAAAACUNNNN
rnacentral:lncRNA from 1 species